AGCCUUCGUGUUGCCCAUUCACUUUUGGUCACUAGUGAAUGUGGUGUCAAAAAAGGCAUAAAUAAAUGCUUUUGCGGUCUUUCCUGUCCCUGGAGUUUGGUAUCUUGGGUGUAGGAACUGCAUAAGUAACAGUA
ensembl:snoRNA small nucleolar RNA SNORA13